AGGGACGAGUGACUUUGGAGUUCGUUUGUCUUGUCUCACUACUUUCGUGAGAAAUUGUAUGAUACUUUUUAGCUGUGUAGCUCAGCUUUAGUUGAGCCUCAAGCCACUGGGUUCAAACAUGGGGCAUUUGCUUGGUGGACAAAAUUACUUGCUAGUUUUGCUGGUGUGAAACAGCUGAUAACUCUGAUAAAAUAGCCAAACGCUUCUGUAUUACUGCGUAACAAUUUCUCAUACUUCCUAGAAACAUUCAAAACGAUCAAAAGA
rnacentral:misc_RNA from 1 species